UGGGCAGUAGAUCAGUGGUGGGGCUCCAGUUUUUUAUGCGGGAAGACCUGAGUUCGAUUCCCGGCUGCUUAC
rnacentral:tRNA from 1 species